UACGUAGGGGGCAAGCGUUGUCCGGAAUCAUUGGGCGUAAAGCGCGCGUAGGCGGCCCGGUAAGUCCGCUGUAAAAGUCCAGGGCUCAACCCUGGAAAGCCGGUGGAUACUGUCGGGCUAGAGUCCGGAAGAGGCGAGUGGAAUUCCUGGUGUAGCGGUGGAAUGCGUAGAUAUCAAGUGGAACACCAGUGGCGAAGGCGAAUCCCUGGAAAAUACCUGACACUGAGGCACGAAAGCUAGGGGAGCAAACAGG
rnacentral:rRNA from 1 species